rnacentral:tRNA from 1 species
ACCAGGAUAGCUCAGUGGGUAGAGCAGAUGACUGUGAAUCAUCGGGUCGCGGGUUCGACUCCCGCUCCAGCGC